GUUAUCAAUGCGAAAGUCCAUCGCUAGCGAGUUACAGCCAAAAAAAAACACCCCGCUCGUGCAUCAACGUUAGAAAAAUGCAAAAUUAAAUAUGUUGUGAGUAGCGAAGAAAGCCAAAUCGACUAUGUUUUCCACUGCAUACAGAAAAAUAAACAAAUACAAGAAGCAUAAAGUAUGCAGAAAAUUAAAUUCAAAAGGAGCCACUAAGUGUUUCGUGUGAAAUCAAUUUAGCGUCGUUCUCCGUGCUGCUCGUCGUCGUCGUCGUCGUACAUACUCUUCUGUUACUGUUUCAAUUACACUACAAUGAAUAUUUGUUGAAACUGGCGUUGCAUUUACAGACUGGUGUUUAAAAACAACAACAACAACAACAGCAAAUUGACAACUAUAAACAAACAACAGCAACAACAACAAACAGCCCUCACACAAAGCAAAAAUAUAUCCACAUAUAAAAAUAGUAUCAUAACGUAAGGUUAAGCCGCAACAAAGUCGAAAGGAAAGUUUUAUAUAAAUUACAAACGCACCAGUAAAAGAAAUAAAUAACAAAAAAUUAAAAACCAACUACACACGUUCCUUAAAACAAAUGUUUUCCAAACCGCAAACCUAAACUAAACGAAAUGCUUUUGAAAUUAGUUUAAGCCAAACUAAACCAACAAACCGCAAAAAAACC